AUUGCAGACCGCCUUAUCGUUCUGAUAUUUCAGGAAGGAAAGUCCGGACACCAAAGAGUAGCAUAGCGGGUAAUUCCCGUCACCCGCUUAGGCGAGGUAGGACCAGUGCAACAGAAAGUAUGUACAGAUAAUGCUGUAGUGAAACCAGGUAAACUCUAUGCGGUGCAAUUUCAAGUAUAUCAACAUUUAAGGGUUACUCGCUCGUUGUUGAAGGGUAGAAAGCUAGAAUUAUGCAGUAAUGUAUAAUCAAGAUAAAUGAUAAGGUAUCUUUUUAUUUCAUAGAAAGAGAACAGAAUCCGGCUUACAGGUCUGCUUUUUUU
rnacentral:RNase_P_RNA from 1 species